GUUCUUCAGUGAAUUCACCAGCUCUUUAUUUUAGACUUUUCAUAAAUGCUUGGGAUUGUAUCUGUCUCUCUGGAUUGUAAUUAGCAUCUCACUUUGACUCCUGUAUGAUGCCAGUGUGAAGAGAAGACUAUUCAUGCUGGAUGGGGUUAAUGUCUGUCUGUCAGUCUGUCUGUGAGUCCACUGCUCAGUGACCUCCCACUCUCUCCUGCCUGGCUGCAGUGAUGAGUUCACACAGAUGGGAGGUGUCAGAUAUGGACAGCAAAUAGAAGCUUCCUCUAUUCACUUGUGUGAGCAAAGGUGGAAAGGUGUCUUGAAAAAAGCUUUCGUUUGCACUCUCCCUCACUCUUGCAUUUUGGUACAGUCCAUAAUCAGACACAAAAGCACAUCUAACACACAUUUUGAAUAUAAGACAGGCUCUGAAACGUAGGAGCAACAAGGAUUUCCUCCUCCACCCACAUGCAGUAGUCCAUUCUGAGGAUGGUUUCCGCAUUCACUUUGUGUUUUGUCUGUGCUGUAUGGCCCGACUGCCUGGGAUACAAACGGAUACUAAUGAAGUCAAGUCAGGAAGUUGGAGGACCUUUGCUCCGGUAUUUGAGCUUCCUACCCAUCAAAAGAAGACCAUCGCACUCUCCCCAAGAAAAUGUAGUGCGUAAAACCCUGGAAUUCAGAAGCAGAAUCCGAAGCAACAUACAGGUUGUGGUAAUCUCGGCACCUAGAACCAACUCUCAGCUACUCGGGCUGUCACAAGAGACUAAGGCAGUGGUGAACUAUAAAUUGGCCCUGGCUCGUGUAAUAUUGCUCAUCUUCAAUGCCGUAAGCACAUUAUUUUACAUUUACAUUUGA
rnacentral:lncRNA from 13 species